rnacentral:rRNA from 1 species
CAUAAACCCUUUGUGAACUUAUACCUUACUGUUGCCUCGGCGCAGGCUGGUCCCCCGCGCGGGGACCCCUCGGUGACGACGAUCGGCCGGCCGGUGGCCANNCGAACUCUUGUUUUUUACCUGAAACUCUGAGGAAAUUACACAUAAUGAAUCAGAACUUUCAACAACGGAUCUCUUGGUUCUGGCAUCGAUGAAGAACGCAGCGAAAUGCAAUAAGUAAUGUGAAUUGCAGAAUUCAUCGAAUCAUCGAAUCUUUGAACGCAGAUUGCGCCCUCUGGUAUUCCGGAGGGCAUGCCUGUUCGAGCGUCAUUUCUACCCUCAGGCCCAGCUUGUUGAUCGGGCUCUGCUUGUCAAGACGAGCAGGCCCUGAAAUCUAGUGGCNAGCUCGCCAGGACUCCGAGCGCAGUAGUUUAAACCCUCGCUGCGGAAGUUCUGGUGUGGCCCUGCCGUAAACACCCGACUUCUGAAAAAU